CCCGGAUAAUCCUUGGGGGUUCAACAUGGCGGCAGCAGUAACGGAGGUGGCGGCCGCGCAAGAGAGCUGAACGAGGUGCGAGGGCGCGGAGUUCCAGGCCGAGCAUCUAGGCCAUGAGCGACUGCGGCGCCGAGCCGGCCUGGUUGGUUUACACAACGUUGGACAGACCUGCUGCCUUAACUCUUUAAUUCAGGUUUGUAAUGAACGUGGACUUCACCAGGAUAUUGAAGAGGACCAUGGUUCCCAAGGGAGCUGACAAGCAGAGGAGAAGUGUCCCUUUCCAGCUGCUUCUUCUGCAGGUGAAGAUGGAGGACCACUGGCAGAAUGCAGUGCAGCCCCUGGAGCUGGCCUACUUCCUGCAGAAGUACAGCAUGCUGAUAAUAAGCGGUCAGAGAUUUCCUUAAAUGCCUGAAUCGGUGAGUCUUCCAAUAUUUGUGAAGGGGCUCUGUGUGUUUGUUAGGGCACAAUUUCAAAGUGCACACAGUUUAUAAUUCUGUGUUCACUGUCAUUGCUUUCUUGUACAUGGCCUUGUGAUCAGCCAGAGGGGAAGAAUUCAGCCCUCUUAGAUCUUGGGCAUGUGCGUGGCCUUCUAGAUCCUCAGGAAUACAUCAGUGCUGUUCAAAGUCCCCUGUGAACAUCUCAUUCCCCAGGCCGAGUGCAGUGGUGUAAGCACAGCUCACUGUAGCCUCAA